UACGUAGGGACCAAGCGUUGUUCGGAUUUACUGGGCGUAAAGGGCGCGUAGGCGGCUUAACAAGUCACUUGUGAAAUCUCCGGGCUUAACUCGGAACGGCCAAGUGAAACUGUCAAGCUAGAGUGCAGAAGGGGCAAUCGGAAUUCUUGGUGUAGCGGUGAAAUGCGUAGAUAUCAAGAGGAACACCUGAGGCGAAGGCGGGUUGCUAGGCUGACACUGACGCUGAGGCGCGAAAGCUAGGGUAGCAAACGGG
rnacentral:rRNA from 1 species